rnacentral:tRNA from 1 species
GCCCACGUAGCUUAAUUGAAUAGAGCAUGAAUCUUCUAAAUUCAUUGAUGUAGGUUUGAAUCCUAUCGUGGGUGCCA